AUGAACGCUGGCGGCGUGCCUAAUACAUGCAAGUCGAGCGAACGGACGAGAAGCUUGCUUCUCUGAUGUUAGCGGCGGACGGGUGAGUAACACGUGGAUAACCUACCUAUAAGACUGGGAUAACUUCGGGAAACCGGAGCUAAUACCGUAUAAUAUUUUGAACCGCAUGGUUCAAAAGUGAAAGACGGUCUUGCUGUCACUUAUAGCUGGAUCCGCGCUGCAUUAGCUAGUUGGUAAGGUAACGGCUUACCAAGGCAACGAUGCAUAGCCGACCUGAGAGGGUGAUCGGCCACACUGGAACUGAGACACGGUCCAGACUCCUACGGGAGGCAGCAGUAGGGAAUCUUCCGCAAUGGGCGAAAGCCUGACGGAGCAACGCCGCGUGAGUGAUGAAGGUCUUCGGAUCGUAAAACUCUGUUAUUAGGGAAGAACAUAUGUGUAAGUAACUGUGCACAUCUUGACGGUACCUAAUCAGAAAGCCACGGCUAACUACGUG
rnacentral:rRNA from 1 species